rnacentral:rRNA from 1 species
AUUGAACGCUGGCGGCAGGCCUAACACAUGCAAGUCGAACGGUAACAGGAAGCAGCUUGCUGCUUCGCUGACGAGUGGCGGACGGGUGAGUAAUGUCUGGGAAGCUGCCUGAUGGCGGGGGUUAACUACUGGAAACGGUAGCUAAUACCGCAUAAUGUCGCAAGACCAAAGAGCGGGACCUUCAGGCCUUUUGCCUUCCGAUGAUCCCCGAGCGGAUUCUGUUGUUGGUGGGGUAACGGGUCACCAAGGCGAAGAGCCCUGGCUGGUCUGCGAGGAGGGCCAGCCAAACCGGAAAUGGAACACGGGCCCGGCUCCUACGGGAGGGAAGAGUGGGGAAUAUUGCACAAUGGGCGGAAGGCUGAAGCAGCCAAGGCGCGUGUAGGAAGGAGGCCUUCGGGUUGUAAAGUACUUUCAGCGGGGAGGAAGGGAGUAAAGUUAAUACCGUUGCUCAUUGACGUUACCCGCAGAAGAAGCACCGGCUAACUCCGUGC